UGCCUAAUACAUGCAAGUCGAGCGUACUUGAUGAAGUGCUUGCACUUCUGAUAGUUAGCGGCGGACGGGUGAGUAACACGUGGGCAACCUGCCUGCAAGCCUGGGAUAACAUUCGGAAACGGAUGCUAAUACCGGAUACGCAAUUUGGUCGCAUGACCGGAUUGGGAAAGACGGAGCAAUCUGUCACUUGCAGAUGGACCUGCGGCGCAUUAGCUAGUUGGUGAGGUAACGGCUCACCAAGGCGACGAUGCGUAGCCGACCUGAGAGGGUGAUCGGCCACACUGGGACUGAGACACGGCCCAGACUCCUACGGGAGGCAGCAGUAGGGAAUCUUCCGCAAUGGACGAAAGUCUGACGGAGCAACGCCGCGUGAGUGAUGAAGGUUUUCGGAUCGUAAAGCUCUGUUGCCAGGGAAGAACGCUUGAGAGAGUAACUGCUCUUGAGGUGACGGUACCUGAGAAGAAAGCCCCGGCUAACUACGUGCCAGCAGCCGCGGUAAUACGUAGGGGGCAAGCGUUGUCCGGAAUUAUUGGGCGUAAAGCGCGCGCAGGCGGUCAUUUAAGUCUGGUGUUUAAUCCUGGGGCUCAACCCUAGGUCGCACUGGAAACUGGGUGACUUGAGUGCAGA
rnacentral:rRNA from 1 species